rnacentral:rRNA from 1 species
GAUGAACGCUGGCGGCGUGCUUAACACAUGCAAGUCGAACGAGAAGUGAAGACGGAAACCUUCGGGCGGAAGGCUUUAUUUCGAGUGGCGGACGGGUGAGUAACGCGUGGGUAACCUGCCUCAUACAGGGGGAUAACAGUUGGAAACGACUGUUAAUACCGCAUAAGACCACAGCACCGCAUGGUGCGGGGGUAAAAACUCCGGUGGUAUGAGAUGGACCCGCGUUCGAUUAGCCAGUUGGCGGGGUAACGGCCCACCAAAGCGACGAUCGAUAGCCGAUCUGAGAGGAUGACCGGCCACAUUGGGACUGAGACACGGCAAACUCCUACGGGAAGCAGCAGUGGGGAAUAUUGCACAAUGGGGGAAACCCUGAUGCAGCGACGCCGCGUGAGUGAAGAAGUAUUUCGGUAUGUAAAGCUCUAUCAGCAGGGAAGAAAAUGACGGUACCUGAGUAAGAAGCCCCGGCUAACUACGUG